CCGGGAAUAGUUUUUUUUAGGGUGUAAUGACCAUCCCCCCCCUGGGGGGGGGGGAGAUCGAAGGAUCUUACCACCCUAAAAACUUUCCACGUGAACUGUCGUUAUUUGUUGUGUGUCUGCGCGUUGCUGGCGUGCGUUUGCUUACGCUUCGGUGUUUGCGAGUGCGUGCUGGCGGUGCGCGGACUGAACGAAGGUCGUGUUGCUGUGUGCCUGCUGCCCUGCUGACUUUGCAUUGAUUUGCAUGGUCUUGGCGGAGCGGCGGGUGCUGUGCGUGCGCGGCUGACUUACUUUUUCAAACCCCAUACCUAACUUACUGAUUAUACUGUGAGAACGAAAGUUCUUGCUUUUAACUAGAUAACAACUUUCAGCAGUGGAUGUCUAGGCUCGCACAUCGAUGAAGAACGCUGCGAACUGCGAUACGUAAUGCGAAUUGCAGAAUUCAGUGAGUCAUCGAAAUUUUGAACGCAUAUUGCACUUCCGGGUUAUGCCUGGAAGUAUGUCUGUAUCAGUGUCCGUAAAUCAAACUUGCCUUUCUUCCUUCCGUGUAGUCGGUGGAGGAGAGUUGCAGAUGUGAAGUGUCUCGCUGUGGUUGGUAUAUUUGUUUAUGCACAACUUGCGAGUCCUUUUAAAUGGACACGACUUUCUCUUUUUUGUAUCUGCGCGGUGCUGUGCGUGAACGCGGUGGUUUUCGGAUCGCUCGCGGCUGUCGGCGACUUCGGUGAAUGCAUUAUGGAGUGGACCUCGAUUCGCGGUAUGUUGGGCUUCGGCUGGACAAUGUUGCUUAUUGGGUGUCUGUUCCGCGUUCGCCUUGAGGUGUACUGGUGGCUGUGGGAUUGAACUGGUUACUGUUGUUAGUAGUGGGCGGCUCGUUGUCGUGGGUGCAUCUGUGUUUUUGUACUUGUGCAAUUGGCAGAAGAGGAGUCUCAAUUUGGGAAAUUAGUGUACUCCGGGUUUGAUCCUGCGUGUAUAUCUCAAUUGGACCUGAUAUCAGACCAAGACUACCCGCUGAACUUAAGCAUAUCAAAAAGGGCCGAAGACACACCUAAAAAAACAUAUCACGUGAACUGGU
rnacentral:rRNA from 1 species